AGGGAUUGCCAUGAGGAUUUCUAAGCUCCCUCUUCCGAUUAAAGCUGAGGAAAUUUGCUGGCAGAAUCGAACCACUUACAAUCUAGCCAUUACUGAGCAA